rnacentral:sRNA from 2 species
UUUUAGCCCCGAUAGUAGUGAAAAUCCUUUUUUAUUCGCCGCGGCGAAUAAAAAAGAUUGCAACGGAUAGCGGGAAUAGCU